rnacentral:lncRNA from 10 species
GUUCGAGCUCGAGAAGGAAUCUGGAUUCUGUGUGCCAGACCAGUCAAAGAAUCCUGCGUCAAAAUCGAGAGAAUGAACAAGCCUUCAACACCAUGGCACAUUUACAUAUAAAGAAAGGGAGAGAUGUUGUGGGAAAUCAGGGACCCCGAACGGAGGGACCUGCUGAAGCCAUGACAGAAGAACAUAAAUUGGGAAGAUUUCAUGGACAUUUAUCACUUCCCCAAUCACUACUCUUAUAAUUUCCUAUGCCUGUCUUUAAUCUCUUAAUCCCGUCAUCUUUGUAAGCUGAGGAUGUAUGUCGCCUAAGGACCCUGUGAUGAUUGCAUUAACUGCACACAUUGGUUAUAAAGCAUCUGUGUUUGAACAAUAUGAAAUCUGGGCACCUUGAAAAAAGAACAGGAUAACAGUGAUGUUCAGGGAACAAGAGAGAUAAACAUUAGGUCUGACUGCCUGGGAGCCAGGCAGAACAGAGCCAUAUUUCUCUUAUUACCGAAAAUGGGUAAGAGAAAUAUCGCUGAAUUCUUUCCCUGGUAAGGAAUAUUAAUAAGUAACAGCCCUGGGAAAAGAAUGCAUUCCCAGGGGGGGCCUCUAAAAUGGCUGCUCUUGGUGUGUCUGUCUUAUGCAGUUGCAGAUAAGGGAUGAAACAUGCCCUGGCCUCCUGCAGCGCCCGCAGGCUUGCUAGGAUUGGGAAAUUCUAGCUUGGUAAAUUCUAGUCAGACCAGUACUCUGCUCUUGAACCCUGUUAAGAUGUUUAUCAAUGACAAUGUGUGCACAGCAGGACAUGGAACUUCAUUAGUAAUUCUAGUUUCUCCCUGACCUUGUGAUCUCACCUUGACCUUCUGCCUUGUGAUCUUUUAUUGCCCUAUGAAGCAUGUGAUCUCUGUGACCCACACCCUUUUUGUACACUCCCUUCCCUUUGAAAAUUGCUAAUAAAAACUUGCUGGUUUUAUGGCUCAGGGGGCAUCAUGGAACCUGCCG